GGGUUGUGAGGUUAAGCGACUAAGCGUACACGGUGGAUGCCCUGGCAGUCAGAGGCGAUGAAGGACGUGCUAAUCUGCGAUAAGCGUCGGUAAGGUGAUAUGAACCGUUAUAACCGGCGAUUUCCGAAUGGGGAAACCCAGUGUGUUUCGACACACUAUCAUUAACUGAAUCCAUAGGUUAAUGAGGCGAACCGGGGGAACUGAAACAUCUAAGUACCCCGAGGAAAAGAAAUCAACCGAGAUUCCCCCAGUAGCGGCGAGCGAACGGGGAGCAGCCCAGAGCCUGAAUCAGUGUGUGUGUUAGUGGAAGCGUCUGGAAAGGCGCGCGAUACAGGGUGACAGCCCCGUACACAAAAAUGCACAUACUGUGAGCUCGAUGAGUAGGGCGGGACACGUGGUAUCCUGUCUGAAUAUGGGGGGACCAUCCUCCAAGGCUAAAUACUCCUGACUGACCGAUAGUGAACCAGUACCGUGAGGGAAAGGCGAAAAGAACCCCGGCGAGGGGAGUGAAAAAGAACCUGAAACCGUGUACGUACAAGCAGUGGGAGCCUCUUAAUGGGGUGACUGCGUACCUUUUGUAUAAUGGGUCAGCGACUUAUAUUCUGUAGCAAGGUUAACCGAAUAGGGGAGCCGAAGGGAAACCGAGUCUUAACUGGGCGUUAAGUUGCAGGGUAUAGACCCGAAACCCGGUGAUCUAGCCAUGGGCAGGUUGAAGGUUGGGUAACACUAACUGGAGGACCGAACCGACUAAUGUUGAAAAAUUAGCGGAUGACUUGUGGCUGGGGGUGAAAGGCCAAUCAAACCGGGAGAUAGCUGGUUCUCCCCGAAAGCUAUUUAGGUAGCGCCUCGUGAAUUCAUCUCCGGGGGUAGAGCACUGUUUCGGCAAGGGGGUCAUCCCGACUUACCAACCCGAUGCAAACUGCGAAUACCGGAGAAUGUUAUCACGGGAGACACACGGCGGGUGCUAACGUCCGUCGUGAAGAGGGAAACAACCCAGACCGCCAGCUAAGGUCCCAAAGUCAUGGUUAAGUGGGAAACGAUGUGGGAAGGCCCAGACAGCCAGGAUGUUGGCUUAGAAGCAGCCAUCAUUUAAAGAAAGCGUAAUAGCUCACUGGUCGAGUCGGCCUGCGCGGAAGAUGUAACGGGGCUAAACCAUGCACCGAAGCUGCGGCAGCGACACUAUGUGUUGUUGGGUAGGGGAGCGUUCUGUAAGCCUGCGAAGGUGUACUGUGAGGUAUGCUGGAGGUAUCAGAAGUGCGAAUGCUGACAUAAGUAACGAUAAAGCGGGUGAAAAGCCCGCUCGCCGGAAGACCAAGGGUUCCUGUCCAACGUUAAUCGGGGCAGGGUGAGUCGACCCCUAAGGCGAGGCCGAAAGGCGUAGUCGAUGGGAAACAGGUUAAUAUUCCUGUACUUGGUGUUACUGCGAAGGGGGGACGGAGAAGGCUAUGUUGGCCGGGCGACGGUUGUCCCGGUUUAAGCGUGUAGGCUGGUUUUCCAGGCAAAUCCGGAAAAUCAAGGCUGAGGCGUGAUGACGAGGCACUACGGUGCUGAAGCAACAAAUGCCCUGCUUCCAGGAAAAGCCUCUAAGCAUCAGGUAACAUCAAAUCGUACCCCAAACCGACACAGGUGGUCAGGUAGAGAAUACCAAGGCGCUUGAGAGAACUCGGGUGAAGGAACUAGGCAAAAUGGUGCCGUAACUUCGGGAGAAGGCACGCUGAUAUGUAGGUGAAGUCCCUUGCGGAUGGAGCUGAAAUCAGUCGAAGAUACCAGCUGGCUGCAACUGUUUAUUAAAAACACAGCACUGUGCAAACACGAAAGUGGACGUAUACGGUGUGACGCCUGCCCGGUGCCGGAAGGUUAAUUGAUGGGGUUAGCGGUAACGCGAAGCUCUUGAUCGAAGCCCCGGUAAACGGCGGCCGUAACUAUAACGGUCCUAAGGUAGCGAAAUUCCUUGUCGGGUAAGUUCCGACCUGCACGAAUGGCGUAAUGAUGGCCAGGCUGUCUCCACCCGAGACUCAGUGAAAUUGAACUCGCUGUGAAGAUGCAGUGUACCCGCGGCAAGACGGAAAGACCCCGUGAACCUUUACUAUAGCUUGACACUGAACAUUGAGCCUUGAUGUGUAGGAUAGGUGGGAGGCUUUGAAGUGUGGACGCCAGUCUGCAUGGAGCCGGCCUUGAAAUACCACCCUUUAAUGUUUGAUGUUCUAACGUUGGCCCCUGAUCGGGGUUGCGGACAGUGUCUGGUGGGUAGUUUGACUGGGGCGGUCUCCUCCUAAAGAGUAACGGAGGAGCACGAAGGUUGGCUAAUCCUGGUCGGACAUCAGGAGGUUAGUGCAAUGGCAUAAGCCAGCUUGACUGCGAGCGUGACGGCGCGAGCAGGUGCGAAAGCAGGUCAUAGUGAUCCGGUGGUUCUGAAUGGAAGGGCCAUCGCUCAACGGAUAAAAGGUACUCCGGGGAUAACAGGCUGAUACCGCCCAAGAGUUCAUAUCGACGGCGGUGUUUGGCACCUCGAUGUCGGCUCAUCACAUCCUGGGGCUGAAGUAGGUCCCAAGGGUAUGGCUGUUCGCCAUUUAAAGUGGUACGCGAGCUGGGUUUAGAACGUCGUGAGACAGUUCGGUCCCUAUCUGCCGUGGGCGCUGGAGAACUGAGGGGGGCUGCUCCUAGUACGAGAGGACCGGAGUGGACGCAUCACUGGUGUUCGGGUUGUCAUGCCAAUGGCACUGCCCGGUAGCUAAAUGCGGAAGAGAUAAGUGCUGAAAGCAUCUAAGCACGAAACUUGCCCCGAGAUGAGUUCUCCCUGACUCCUUGAGAGUCCUGAAGGAACGUUGAAGACGACGACGUUGAUAGGCCGGGUGUGUAAGCGCAGCGAUGCGUUGAGCUAACCGGUACUAAUGAACCGUGAGGCUUAACCUUACAACGCCGAAGGUGUUU
rnacentral:rRNA from 1 species